rnacentral:rRNA from 1 species
UACGAAGGGGGCUAGCGUUGUUCGGAAUUACUGGGCGUAAAGCGUGCGCAGGUGGCCUGUUAAGUCGAACGUGAAAUCCCCGGGCUCAACCCGGGAACUGCGUCCGAGACUGGCAGGCUCGAAUCCGGGAGAGGGAUGUGGAAUUCCAGGUGUAGCGGUGAAAUGCGUAGAUAUCUGGAGGAACACCGGUGGCGAAGGCGGCAUCCUGGACCGGUAUUGACGCUGAGGCGCGAAAGCCAGGGGAGCAAACGGG